GAUGAACGCUGGCGGCGUGCCUAAUACAUGCAAGUCGAGCGAAUGGAUUAAGAGCUUGCUCUUAUGAAGUUAGCGGCGGACGGGUGAGUAACACGUGGGUAACCUGCCCAUAAGACUGGGAUAACUCCGGGAAACCGGGGCUAAUACCGGAUAACAUUUUGAGCCGCAUGGUUCGAAAUUGAAAGGCGGCUUCGGCUGUCACUUAUGGAUGGACCCGCGUCGCAUUAGCUAGUUGGUGAGGUAACGGCUCACCAAGGCAACGAUGCGUAGCCGACCUGAGAGGGUGAUCGGCCACUCUGGGACUGAGACACGGCCCAGACUCCUACGGGAGGCAGCAGUAGGGAAUCUUCCGCAAUGGACGAAAGUCUGACGGAGCAACGCCGCGUGAGUGAUGAAGGCUUUCGGGUCGUAAAACUCUGUUGUUAGGGAAGAACAAGUGCUAGUUGAAUAAGCUGACACCUUGACGGUACCUAACCAGAAAGCCACGGCUAACUACGUGCCAGCCGCCGCGGUAA
rnacentral:rRNA from 1 species